rnacentral:rRNA from 1 species
CAUGCGAGUUAAAUGUUCUUCGUGAACAUAGCAGACUGCUCAGUAACACGUGGAUAACCUGCCCUUAGGACUGGCAUAACCCCGGGAAACUGGGGAUAAUUCCGGAUAGAUCAUAAAUGCUGGAAUGCUUUAUGAUUGAAAGGUUUCGACCGCCUUAGGAUGGAUCUGCGGCCUAUCAGGUUGUAGUGGGUGUAAUGUACCUACUAGCCUACGACGGGUACGGGUUGUGGAAGCAAGAGCCCGGAGAUGGAUUCUGAGACAUGAAUCCAGGCCCUACGGGGCGCAGCGGGCGCGAAAACUUUACAAUGCGGGAAACCGUGAUAAGGGAACACUGAGUGCUAGCAUUUAUGUUAGCUGUCCACAUGUGUAAAUAGCAUGUGAUAGCAAGGGCUGGGCAAGACCGGUGCCAGCCGCCGCGGUAACACCGGCAGCCCGAGUGGUGAUCACUAUUAUUGGGUCUAAAGGGUCCGUAGCCGGUUUAAUCAGUCUUCUGGGAAAUCUAAUCGCUUAACUAUUAGGCUUCCAGGGGAUGCUGUUAGACUUGGGACCGGGAGAGGUAAGAGGUACUGCAGGGGUAGGAGUGAAAUCUUGUAAUCCCUGUGAGACCACCAGUGGCGAAGGCGUCUUACCAGAACGGGUCCGACGGUGAGGGACGAAAGCUGGGGGCACGAACCGGAUUAGAUACCCGGGUAGUCCCAGCUGUAAACGAUGCUCGUUAGGUGUCAGGAACGGUGCGACUGUUUCUGGUGCCGAAGGGAAGCCGUGAAACGAGCCACCUGGGAAGU